rnacentral:sRNA from 1 species
GAGCACCUGGUCUGUGAGCUGCUUUCCUGCCCACCUGUUUCCUUUCUUUCUUAGCUGUGGGAACCACUUUAACCCUGAUGGAGCAUCUCAUGGGGGCCCCCAGGACUCUGACCGGACAGGGCCAAGAGGACCUUGCCUGCCCAGUCCUUGGGGAGCUCAGAUCCUACGAGACUGGUACCCACAGGAGGAAAUGGGUACUUUAGGGAAGCAGGAAGAGGCAUCGGAAUCAGGAAAUCAGAAGAUAGCAGCUUGGCACCACGUGGCACACAUCCCCUAUACACACACUGGAUCUCAUUCCAGCACCGCGGAGACCUGGGCAAUGUCCGUGCUGAUGCUGACGGCCGCGCCAUCUUCAGAAUGGAGGAUGAGCAGCUGAAGGUAAGGUGGAAAAGAAGGUGGGCACCCUUCCUAACAGGGUCCAUCAUCUGAAGCUGUCGUCUCCCCUCAAAGGUGUGGGAUGUGAUUGGCCGCAGCCUGAUUAUUGAUGAGGGAGAAGAUGACCUGGGCCGGGGAGGCCAUCCUUUAUCCAAGAUCACAGGGAACUCCGGGGAGAGGUUGGCCUGUGGCAUCAUUGCACGCUCCGCUGGCCUUUUCCAGAACCCCAAGCAGAUCUGCUCUUGCGAUGGCCUCACCAUCUGGGAGGAGCGAGGCCGGCCCAUCGCUGGCAAGGGCCGAAAGGAGUCGGCCCAGCCCCCUGCCCACCUUUGAGCAGGACCUCACCUUGGCUCUGUUGCUGUCCUCCAGGGCGAGCACUUUCCACUUCCAGAGGGGGCCAGAGGGACUUUGCCUGCCCAGUCUUUGGAGAGCUCAGUACAGGGCAGGAGCUGCUGUGGUGUUCCCUUGGCAAAUGAAAGUUUUAUUUUCGUUUGG